rnacentral:lncRNA from 1 species
UUUACAUGCAUACAUACACACACACGCAUACACAUACGCACACACUUAUUGUCGUAUAUAUGUGUGUAUGUAUAUGUUUCUAUAUAUUUAUGCAUAUGUUUUAGUGUGAUUAUGGGAGUGCUGUGUGUGCGUGUGUUUGUGUGUGCGUGUGUUUGUGUGUGCGUGUGUUUGUGUGUGCGUGUGUUUGUGUGUGCGUGUGUUUGUGUGUGCGUGUGUACAUCUAAACUGCUAACCACACACAGCAAUCCACCACAAACACCGCCAACACACCUCAAUGUCGACCAGCAAACACUACUGUUUACCUGCUUCUCAUUAAUUUACCUGUUUAUUAAUUGUCACCAACUCACCUACGCAUACCUAUAUAUCCUCCAAUACCUCACCAAACCUCGCUAAACAACACUAUUCUACGUUAGAUCACAUCAGGCUACGAAUCAUCACCACCACAUCACACCGGUGCCCUUACAUUAUUGUCGCAUCGCUUCACAUACGCCGUUCCAAAAUAUCAACGACGGGGCCAUAUUUGCACCAGAUUUUCUUUCCAUUUACAAGCACAAUCACAUUUAUACAUAGGAUAUAUACAUAUAUAUAUAUAUAUAUAAGAUUUAUAUAUAAGAUUUAUAUAUAAGAUUUAUAUAUAUAUAUAUAUAUAUACAUACACACAGACAGAUAGAUAGAAAGAUACGUACAUACACACAGACUCACACACACACACACACACAUAUACGCAUACACAUAAAUAUACAUGUAUAUGCAUAGAUUAAUACAUACAGACACUGAUAUAUACAAACGCAUCCACGUGUUCACAAGCGAACACACGUUCACCAUCACACACAUCUAACUACGCGAGCGCGCACUCGCACACCACACACACACACACACACAAGCAUACACAUAUCUUGUCACACAUACACGAAUACAGAAAGCGAUACAUUACCACCCCAAACUGUCCCGCAAAGCCACACACACACAACGCCUUGUGUCCCGUCGUCAUCUCCCUCGGACCACCCCGAGACUGUCGAACACGACCACAACAAACAGCCGCCUUUGAUAACACGGAUCGCUUCGCUACAGGUGAAGUGGGAACCAGCUGCCGUUCGCUCGGACCAACUGGACAGGACGUACGGAACCUCAAUUUCGGCUGCUGUUUUUCGCUUAUACACACACACACGCCUAUACACCCAGAGCCAGAAACAGGU